UACGUAGGGGGCAAGCGUUGUCCGGAUUAUUGGGCGUAAAGAGCGUGUAGGCGGCCAGACAGGUCCGUUGUGAAAACUAGAGGCUUAACUCUAGACGUCGAUGGAACCGUCUGGCUAGAGUCCGGAAGAGGAGAAUGGAAUUCCUGGUGUAGCGGUGAAAUGCGCAGAUAUCAGGAAGAACACCCGUGGCUAAGGCGGUUCUCUAGUACGGUACUGACGCUGAGACGCGAAAACGUGGGGGAGCGAACAGGAUUAGAAAACCC
rnacentral:rRNA from 1 species